AGUUGUGUUGUGAUAAGUUAACACGUGUUUGUGUUUCUCGUCAAGGAAAUGAAACCGCAUAAUAUUGCGCAAUGGGGCCUAGAAACAACAGAGAGGCUCUGCAGCCACAGUGGUCCACAACCACACGACCACUACCGCAGUCCACAUCACCCCUCCGCUGCCCCACACCGAACCCAGGGCUAUUGUGCGGUUUGGCCUCCGGUGGACCCUCCACCCAGGGGACGUCUCACACCAGGCGAGUGUAACCCCUAUGUUUGCGUGGUAGAGUAAUGGUGGUGUACGUGCACGUGGAGAACUUAUUUUACACAGCAAUCGUCGACAUUGUGUAGCUGAGGAGGAAUAAGGGGAACCAGCCCACAUUCACCAUGGCAGAUUGAAAACCACCUAAAAACUACCCACAGACUGGCCAGCUCACCGGACCUCGACACAAGUCUGCAGGGCGGAUUCGUGCCGUGGACCAGGUGCUCCUUCCUGCUGGGAAAGCCGUACGUUAGACCGCACGGCCAACUGAGCGGGCAAGAGAGAGAUAUACUGAUGAGUACAAAAUGUCCUGGACCUGGAAAUAUAGAGUACAACAUUCAUUGGGGAUGACGAUGAUGGAAAAACUUAAAACAUACAUGGAUUCUGAUGGAAGAAUUAAUUAAAAACUAUAAAUAAUUUUUUCAAUAUUUUAAAAUGUCAAGUAACUGACUAGAUUACAAUAUUUUUGGUAAUAAUUUUCAGCUUUUAUUUUUAGAAUAUAGUUUAUUUUUCAACAGUAGUAGAAAUAUUAAUUUUUUUUACUUAUUCCCUUAUGGGAAUUCGUGAAUUAUUUACAGGAAAUCAUCGCAGAUGUCAUUGUAGAAUGUAAGAGACUACCAGAAAAAUAUUUUAGGAGACUAGGCUUAUAUACUUGAAAUUUAAUGAAAAAGGAUUUACCCCUAAUUAAUCCAUAAAAUCACAACAAUGAGCUGUUUGACAUGAAACAAUUAAGAUUUAGCAACAAUAAAACAAAAGUUUUGAAUCAUGAAUAACAUACAUUGACUAGGUAACAUUAAAUGAGACAGCUAAAUUUCCUGUAUUUUCUUUAGGAUCAAAUCUGGUUCUUAAUAUGAGAAUACCAAAAAAACCCAUCUGUAAAUGUGAAGAUAUUCAUUUUUGUAUAAUUUUCAGAAAUGAUAAUUUUGAUAGGUUAAAUAGCAUAUCAUUCGGCUCAGUGUACAUUACUUCUAUUAUAUUAGACCUUUAUAAUAUGAAACAUUUUCUAACAUUAAGAACCAUUUAUUUGUAUUUAACUGUUGGUAUCUCAGAAUAAAACUGCAUGAAUGCAGCACUAUGUACUGAUUAUUUAUAAAAUCACAGAAGUCACGAUUUUGAUUCAGUAAUCAUUCAACAUGGAGAGAAAGUAAACAAAAACAUACCUUCAGAAACAUUUUGGGAAAACAGCAUCCAAUUUUCACAAUUGUAUGUAGAAAAACACUCUAGAUCACACAAAUCACUUUUAUUGGUCAACAGUUGCAGUCCAAAGGCAGACCAUCUUCAGACCAUACCCCAAACCUGAUGUGUGGACAUGGAUCCACAGACCAGCUACUCAAUAGUUGACAGCUUCUGCAAUUCCUGCUCUGUGAAGCUGUCUCCACACAUUAACUUUUGAGUACAGCCUCAAGAUGGUUCAUCUUCGGAUGGACAGCAGUCACCAAUAAAUGUGAUUUGUGCAAUCUAGACUGUUUUUGUAAGGACAAUCAACAAAAACUGCUUCAAAAAUCAUUGAUCCUAGUAGUGGUGAAAUUCAUUCCAUUACUAUUUUUUGUGUUGACAAGGAGCACUCAAAUGUUUCAGGAUUUGGGUUUGAGUGACAUAAAGAGUGAUAGUGAAAAAAAAAUUGAAGGAAGUAUGAAAGAAUGUCUACAACUGAAACAAAUUGAAGAAUAAAAUUUUUCUCAGUAACAGAAUAUAUUCCUUCCCAUGGAAAAGUGUGUCCUGGAAAGAAACCAUCUACUGGAAGUGAUACACUUGAUUCCUGAGGGGGCUAAAAAAAAAAAAAAAAAAAACUUAGUUUGCAUUGAUAUAUGCAUUGUCCUAAAUAAUCAUUCUCAGUAAGCAGACUACAGUUGUACAGUACUAUUUGCUGAUGGCCUGAGGAUUGAGGAUGAGAGAAAUAAGUUUCUUGUGCCAUCGCAUAUCUUCUUUCCAUGUAACACAGAUCUUGCUAGAAAAGAAUAACAAUAUGUGGACAAUGGACUGAAUUCAUGAAGUUGCACAGAGAAAAGUAUGUGUACAAAGUUUUUUAACUGAGGACAAAGAAUUUUUAAGAUUUUGCUAGUUUUGGUUGGUUGGGUGGUUGAUUUGGAGGGGGAGGGGGGGGGGCAUCAGUUCCAUCAGAUUAGGGACGGAAGUCAGCCUUGCCUUUUCAAAGGAACCAUCUCAUCUCGGCACUUGCCUGAAGCAAUUUUUUACUUGUUUUAUUAAAAUUUUGAUAAAUUUAAGGCCAGUAGAUAAGUAUGAGGUAUUUUAGCUGAAUGAUGAAGUUAACAUUUUACUUCUAUAAAUGUAGAGUGCAAAAUGAUAUAGUUAUAGAAGAAAAAUUAGUCUGUGAAAAGUGGAAAAAUACCCAGUACUGUCUCCAGCAAAAUGCCCCUGAGGCAGUCAAUUCACUAGCCUAAAUACGGAGACAUUGAGUACCUAACGCAGUUGCCGCCUCCCAUGUAUCAUAGCCUUCAGAAAAAUCAAGAUCCACUCUGACAAACACAUUAUUCGAAAGAGUGGAAACACCUUUAUCAACUACACAGAACCUAUUUCAGCAGGAAAUUUUUUCUGAAACAGCAAUGAUGCUUUGGUAAUAUGCUGAUAAAUAAAAUCUGCAAUCUUACAGCUAAAUGCUACACCAGCCAAUGUUCUGUCUACAAAUAAACACCCUCAUUGGUGAGGUAUUUUCAACUCCUAACAAGUUUCAGGAUCUCAUUCAAAAAUCAUUUCUGCUACCCUAUUAUGAGCAACAGCAUGAAAAUAUUAACCAGAGACUGGACUUAAGUAUCAAUACAGACUAUUCUGAGAAACUAUAACAGUUUAAAAAGCUUUUGCCAGGGUCCAAAUAAGAUGACACUAUUGGUUGUGCACCUAUGAAUGUUAUAAAAACAAAGAGCCAACUAUUCCAACUACCAAUAGAGGUGUCGGUUUACCUGGUAGAAUUUUUAGCCAUCGAAGCAUAUUAAGAUACAGUAUCAUGAUCCAAGCUGAACAUAUAAUAAUAAUGGACUCUCUCUCUCUGCAGUGCAAACACAAUCAUCAAUUGAUAGAAACAAAGGAAGAUGCUACGUGCCAUACCAAAAAAGUUCCUACCAUAUCAGAACUAUGGUUAAAUAGAUUGGUAGUCUCAUUUCUAUAGCCCAAAGCCCAUGCCAGAAUUGUGGGGAAUGAGAAGGCAAAGAACUGUGGUGUAACACGUUGUUACACCUCUUCCUCAUGAUUAGGUGAAAGGUGCUCAUGAAAAACUUUGUGUAAGUAGUUGGCAUAUAGAGAACUUUCCACUGUGCAUGUGCUGGUUUGAAGAAUGUACAGAGUUGGCGUGAGACACAUGAGUAUGGAAUGUCACCAAGGUGUGAUGGCACUUGGGCAUUUCCAUCUGUUGUGAAGGUGUCACUUAUGCUUUGGCAUCAUGAAAGAAAUAGAACAAGAGGCACUGUGUACAAUGAUAACACCCAGAAACAGUUGAAAGAAGCUGAAGAAAAAUGUCAAAUGUCAUUCUCUUUAUUCUGCUCUGCGAUUUUGUUUGGAGAUGUUGUUCUGACUAAUGGGAGAUAUGUUCAUCCAGUGUUGCAAUUUUUGCAUAAGAGCAGCAAAAUACAGAAGAGUUCUUUAAAAAGCAGUUAUUUCAUUUUGUAGCUUGAAUACUACAAAGCUCUCAUCCUGCCCCCAACCCUCUGCAGAUACAAUUGAAGUCAUAUGGUGAGAGUUGGUGGCAUUGCAUAGCAGGUCCACUGCAUCAAGAGAAUUCUGGCUGACCAUACAAGCAAAUAGUUGAGUUAAAAUGUAUCAUUGAUAGCAUGAAGGUGACAGAUUAUUUGGAAGGUAACACUUCUUCUGGGCUCAGUACAGCUAUAGAACAGCAUCAUUACAAGCCAGAACACAGCAACAAAUGGAAUACAGGAGAGAUACAUUCCAGUUGGGAAUCUAAUUGCCACAAUCAGGAACAUGCCCAGAAGCAAAUGGAACAAGUACUGGCAGAAUGAAGAUCUACAGAAGGGCAAAGGGGUACAGACAAACUCACCAACAUAUGUUAAAUGUACUACGGUACACUGAAAAGGGGGAUACAAAAUGUAAAUUCACUAGCAAAAAGAAACAAUAGGAGAUCUGUAAUGACCAUUCAACCACAA